rnacentral:tRNA from 1 species
GCCGAUGUAGCUCAGUGGUAGAGCAAUCCCCUCGUAAAGGAUAGGCCACCGGUUCAAAUCCGGUCAUCGGCU